rnacentral:rRNA from 1 species
AGAACGAACGCUGGCGGCAUGCCUAACACAUGCAAGUCGAACGAGACCCCAACUUCGGUUGGACGUCUAGUGGCGCACGGGUGCGUAACGCGUGGGAAUCUGCCCUUCGGUUCGGAAUAACUCGGAGAAAUCCGUGCUAAUACCGGAUAAUGACGUAAGUCCAAAGAUUUAUCGCCGAGGGAUGAGCCCGCGUAGGAUUAGCUUGUUGGUGAGGUAAAGGCUCACCAAGGCGACGAUCCUUAGCUGGUCUGAGAGGAUGAUCAGCCACACUGGGACUGAGACACGGCCCAGACUCCUACGGGAGGCAGCAGUGGGGAAUAUUGGACAAUGGGCGAAAGCCUGAUCCAGCAAUGCCGCGUGAGUGAUGAAGGCCUUAGGGUUGUAAAGCUCUUUUACCCGGGAUGAUAAUGACAGUAACCGGAGAAUAAGCUCCGGCUAACUCCGUGCCAGCAGCCGC